ACCAUCUCCCACCCACCACCACAAACAAACAUAACCACCAUCUCUAUCGCCAAUUUCGUUAUUCCAACAAGAACCACCUAUCGCCAAUUUCAUCAUUCUAAUUAAUAGAAUGAAUAUUAUCUUCUUACCGUAUUUAGAAUAAGGAGAAUGAUCUCCGACUUAAUUAUUGUAAUUCCCAAAAGAUAUUAUGAUUUUGAUAUAAAGUUGAAUCCUGGAGAAGAUAACUCUGCAAGGAAACCUUUCCCAAAUCCAAGAUGGUAUCAACCCCCUCUACGAUCCUAUUUUCUCUAAACCAUUAAAAUCAAUGGCGACGGAACAACCGAAGCUCACAGACAUUGUUGAGGCAUAUAGCUCCAUGCAUCUACAGCAACCCGAUGAUGCUUUCUACAUGGAUACCGGUGCUACAUCGCACCUUACUGCUGAUCCAGAUUCCAGGUGGGAUGUGCUCAACGCCGGCGAGGGCAUGAGUUGUAAGAUCAUGGAAUGCUAAGGACAAUGUUCAACCUUGACUUAAUUAUCAUGGAUUGGAUGGUAAGUAAAAUUUUGACUUCUGUUGCUCCUUUAUAUACUCUUUUUUAGUUUCUACACGAUUUUAUAAUGUACACACCACCGAGUAACAAUUUGGAAGCAGACUAUUCUACCACAGUACUGAUAUGGCGUGAGUGUUGCGCAGAUUAUGUAAUGUAUCUGUGCCUGAUUUUCAAACUUAUCAUCAUGGGUACUCCUUUGUGUUUUUCAUGGUUUGUUGUUGAAGCCAAGAGCUUUUAUUCCAUUCUAAAAGAAUGCUGAACGUAUUUGUUUAA